UGUAUUAUUUUAUAUCUCUAAUUUUAUGUACUUUAUUAUAUUUUCCAGAUAAAUUCAAGUAUAGCAAGUUAUUUAAUGGUAGUUUAACAUUUACUGUAAUAAACCAGUUGUUAAAUCAAAAUUACUCCCUUCCCUGCAUUUUAUAUAGCCGUCAUUCGUUAAAAUCACAAAUUCAGUUGUUCGUCUAGCUUCCACGUUUACCCGACCGUAAAACAAUUAACAGAAACCACUUAAUGACCCAACAGCCUACCGGCGAAGUUCUAAAAAUGUAAGACGAAAGGAAAAACACGGGAAUAAGUGUUGCGAGCGCUCCAAACUCGAGUGAUUCGGGUCUUGAUGAAUGUCUCUAAAUGAGGAUUCGGAUGGCAACACAUGUGUCUUAAAGUGGAAUUAUUUAAGAUAAGUAGAUUGGUCGGAAGACAGGCCCUAAAUACGGGGGUUAAUCCCGGGGUUUAUUAAGUCGUGCCUCGGCGUUUUAUUAUUAAAAUCCGUUCCGAAAAAAAUUCGCCACACUGAUUUUAUUUCCAGAACGAAAUAACCUAAUUAAAAGGCGGAAAUUUUGGCUAAUUAAACCGUUUUACUGCUCAAUUAACAUGGAAAUAAAAGGCUCAUCGGCAUCUUUACCGUGGGGAAAAAAGCCCGUAAAACCGAAGUGUGUAAGAUUGUUUCUUCGAACUGAAUAAGACCAACCAUAAAACAAUUAACGGAAACCGCUUAAUGACUGGACGGGCUAAAGUUCUAAAAAUCCGCCGAGGAGAAACAUGUGAACGAGCGUCGAAGAAGUUCACAUUCACAAAUAUAAAGGUUCAUGUUUGGUUUUUACUUUGGGCCGGAAAUUUUCAAACGAAAUUGACACGUCACACACUAAAUAGUCAGAAAAGCAAUUUUUUAAUUAACAUUCAUCGGUCUAUAUGAA